ACUCGAGUGGCGAACGGGUGAGUAACACGUGGGUGAUCUGCCCUGCACUUCGGGAUAAGCUUGGGAAACUGGGUCUAAUACCGGAUAGGAGCCAUCUUUAGUGUGGUGGUUGGAAAGUUUUUCGGUGUAGGAUGAGCUCGCGGCCUAUCAGCUUGUUGGCGGGGUAAUGGCCUACCAAGGCGGCGACGGGUAGCCGGCCUGAGAGGGUGUACGGCCACAUUGGGACUGAGAUACGGCCCAG
rnacentral:rRNA from 1 species